GUGGGGAAUUUUGGACAAUGGGGGCAACCCUGAUCCAGCCAUGCCGCGUGAGUGAAGAAGGCCUUCGGGUUGUAAAGCUCUUUCGGUGGGAACGAAACGGGUGGUACUAAUACUGCCACUUAAUGACGGUACUCACAGAAGAAGCACCGGCUAACUACGUGCCAGCAGCCGCGGUAAUACGUAGGGUGCGAGCGUUAAUCGGAAUUACUGGGCGUAAAGCGUGCGCAGGCGGUCUGCCAAGCUCGAUGUGAAAGCCCCGGGCUUAACCUGGGAAUUGCAUUGAGGACUGGCUGGCUCGAGUGCGGCAGAGGGGGGUGGAAUUCCACGUGUAGCAGUGAAAUGCGUAGAGAUGUGGAGGAACACCGAUGGCGAAGGCAGCCCCCUGGGCCGACACUGACGCUCAUGCACGAAAGCGUGGGGAGCAAACAGGAUUAGAUACCCUGGUAGUCC
rnacentral:rRNA from 1 species